UGAAGAGAUCGAGACCAUCCUGGCCAACGUGGUGAAACCCCAUCUCUACUAAAAAUACAAAAAAUUAGCUGGGUAUGGUAGUGGGCACCUGUAGUCCCAGCUACUCAGGAGGCUGAGGCAGGAGAAUGGGGUGAACCUGGGAGGCGGAGCUUGCAGUGAGCUGAGAUCGCACCACUGCACUCCAGCCUGGGCAACAGAGCGAGACUCCGUCUCAAAAAAAAAAAAAAAAAAAGAGGAAGCAGAGAACAAUGUUGCAAACAACUUACGCAAUUCUUCUGGCAAAUUGCUUAUUUUUAGAGUUCCUCUGGCUGGAGGGUUGCUAGGGGGUCUAGGCACAGCAGCUGGGGACGGAGGCUGGGGAACCUGUGGUCUCAGCUCUGCAGGGCACUCCAAGGACUCCCCAGGAGCACCAGCUCUGUUAGGUGGCUGGUGAUGUGGCUGGUCCCUAGAAAGGAAUACAUUUACAGUCAAUUUUCAUUCUUUACAAAGGCAAACCUUCAGGGACAGAAAGCCUUUUAGAACUAUGGGAAGAUCCCAGUGGGCUCUCUCUCCUCUGCCUCUAUUUCUUAACUGAGACAGAAGGAAGAGGGGAGCUCCAUGGAGUUGUAGUCAAUAAGCGUUUCAGCUGGCUGCCACAUGUGAGGGCCUGUGCUCUGACUCCAAAGAGGGAAGCAGGAUUUGAUUUCUGUAUUCAAGAUUUGUUUAAUUGGAAAAACAAGUCUCAUGCACAGGGCAGACAAGGUCACCAACAAAACAAAGUAGUAUGACAGGUGACACAGAUGGUUGAUGUUAUAGGCAUUCAGAUAAAAAGACAUGACUUUUAGCUCAUAAUAGGUAACAUUUAAUUAUGUAUCAAAAGGUAAAGAGGGCCAUGUAGAUUUAGAAGUAUUUGUACUGUUGACAUAUAAAUGGAAAUCUGAUUUUGAAGACCCUUUAAAGAAGUUGCUACCAUAUUAGAUAGCAUCUUUAUUAUUUUCGUUGCCAGUAUUCCCACGAGCAUUCUGCUGAGAUGAACAAUCAGAUGACCUCGUGUGAGAUUUGGAGGAGAGAAGGAAAUGGAGAGCAUGCUUCUGCCGCUUCUGUGGUUUCUGUCGUUAUGAAAUUGGAUGUGCCAUACAACAUGCUCUUCAGCUGGUCGGAAAACGAAAGUAUUUUUUCAAGGCCUGGCUGACUGUUGUGUCAUCUUCUACAUGGACUUGUGGGCCCACAGCUGAAUGGGAGGCAGAGAGAUGCAAAAAGUGAGCUGAGUGGCAGGAGGACUAAUUCCUGUCCUCUCUUUAUUGCCAUGGGAUUCGCUUUCAAUCCUCACUCUUCAGGCUUUCUCCAUAUUUACGUGCUUGUAACUCUGGCAUGACCUUUGCUCCAGUCUCUACCAGAGGGCGGCGCCUGGAUUGAAGUGGAAAAGCCCUGUUUUCCAGCCAUGACCCAGGGAGCAAGCACUGACUCCUCAGGGGAACAGGAGACCUGCCAACUAGGACCCUGGGAGCCCCCAUGCUGGCAGUGCCCUGGGUCAUCUCAGGCUCAUCAACAAAUCCUGGGGGGAGAGCGGGGUUGGAGGGCGAAGAAGCCCAGGAGAGUUCCUGGCUCAGAACCCCUCUCUGAGGCUCCCGAUACAGAGCCCAGGCCCCACACCCAGAGCCUCUGAGUAUUUUUGUUUAUUGUAUGUAAAAUACUAGUGUAUUUUUGUUUAAGUCUCACAGGUAAACAGGUUCUCUCAUACUUUGCCAAGGGAAAUGUAAUCUGUGCAAUUUGGCAAUAACUAUCAGAAUUUUAAAAGCUUAUGCCCUUUGACCUAGUAAUUUCACUUCUAAGAAUUUCCCCUGCAGAGAUAUGUAUAUCUUGUAUGAAAUGAAGAGGCUACGAAGACAGGCAACGCCGCAGUGUUUAUAAUAGCAAAGACCAGACACAGCCCACAUGUCUAAAGGUUCUGAUUUUUAAAACUGUAGUAUAUCUGUACAAUGAGCACUCCACAUCCUUUAAGAAUGAGGAAGGGCUGUGUGAACUGAAAUGGAACUAUCUCUAAGAUUUAUUAAGUUAAAAAAAUUCAAGAGUAGCACAGUGUGUAGGGUAUGCCAUCAUUUGUAUGAUAUAAGGUCGUAUAUCUGCCAUCUCAAAUGAGGAACAGUUGUUGCCUCUGGGAAGGGAAUUGGAUGGCUAGGAAUGAGGUAGGAAAGAGGUUUGCUUUUCAGAACAUUUUAUACUAUUUAAGUUUUGUAACAAGUGCAUCUAUAUUGACUUAAAAGAUAAAAAAUGAAAAGGGAAGGCUCCACUAGUGAUUCUGAUGCUCACAAAGAUUAAGAACCAAUGCGAAUGAGGAACUCAUGAGACCGCCCAGGAGACAGUGAACAUAUCUCUUCAAAUAUCAAAAACCUUUCAGCAGAGGGUGAGAACACGUGCCUGGGGUAAGCAUGGGUGGGCAUGAGCUGGGUACAGAGGUGAUUCCCAGGGACAUACAACUACCUUGCCCUCCUGGGAUCAGGUCUUCCUCCCACCUUAGCCUCCCAUAUUGUUGGGACCACAGGCAUGCACCACCACACCUGGUUAAUUUUUUUUUUUUUUUUUUUGUAGCGACACAGUCUCGCCAUGUUGCCUAGGCUGGUGUCGAACUCCUGGGCUCAAGCAACCCUUCUGCCUCGGCCUUCCAAAGUGCUGAGAUUACAGGCAUGAGCCACUGCACCCAGCCUGACAGUAGCUUUUAAUCUCUGGACUCUCAUCACUGUUUGGACUGUGAGCUGUGGUUCUAGCUCUUGGAUCUGAUGGGCAUCUUCCCUCAAAUAUGUCAGUUUCUCUCUCCAGGUCCCUUGCUUUGUCUUCCUUUUUGCCUCCUCGGGCCUGAUACCUUUCUCUGGGCUUCUCUAUUCUGCCCCGAGCUGCCUGGUUUUGCGAAUAAUGUCACAUCCAGAUGUCAGCAGCCCUGAUGUCCAUGUGACAAUGCUCCCUUGGUGUCCCAGUGACAGAUUUUCCCAUGCUUCACCCUCUCUCUUUUUUAUUUUUUUUUCUGUACACAGCUCUCAGUCAAGCCCCUUGAGCUGCCUCCAACUGUUUGCUCAUGUCUGUUCCCAGCAAAAUUUUCCUCUUUUAGCACAAUCUUCCUUAACUUACUAGUUUUUUGAAACAGAGCCUAUUAGUCUUCACAACGCUACCUUUCUGAUCUCAGAGUUCAUCAAAAAGCUUUUCCUCCCAUCAUGCCUGCCUCCCUUUCUUCAGGUCCGUUAGACUCCACCGUGGCCUGUGUGGGAAGCAAGUCUCUCCCAGGGCACACAUGAACAGACUUCAUGCCCACAUUCACAGUGAACAGUGGCUUCUGCCUUCCAGAUGGGCUUACCCUAAAUCAACACAUAUUCCUAGGAUGUGGGAACAUAUGCAAUACUUAAAUGCACAGGCUCUGGGUUCAGACUCCCUAGGGUUAAAUUCUCCCUGUGCCGGCUAGCUGCAUGAUUAGAUUUGUGAUCUUGACAAAGUUACCUAACGUCUCUGGGCCUCACUUUUCUCAUCUGCAAAAUAGGGAAAAUAGCAACACUUCUCCAUAGGGGUGUGGUGAGGAUAAAGAGUAGAUGUAAAUAAAGUGUUGAAUGUAGAGCCUGGCACAUAUCAAGCUCUUAAAAAGCAAUGGCCAUUUUGUUAUUUUUACUGCAACGACAACUGCAGUUAUUAUCUGACUUCAGAGCUCUCUUUUUAAAAACAGUAUUCCCUGGUUUUACACCCAGGUGCUAAUACUAUUCUAUGAAGCUAAUGUAUAGAGACCAUAUCUUUUUAACAAACGUGUAUAUAUGAGUCAUUUCCGGCACAUUUGAUACACAUCAUCUCGUUUGGUCCUUAAAACAAGCCUAGGCCAUAAGCAGGGUAAGUGUUACCACUUUGCUGUUCCUGUUUUACAGAGGCUUAGACACAUUGAGAAGCUUUUCCAUAGUCACUUAACAAGUGAUGGGUGAAGCCAAAUCAAGCCUUUAGAUCUCCAAGCUCUUUCCAUUAAACCAUAUAAAUCAGGGGUUGGCAAACUUUUUCUGCAAAGGGGACAGAUAGUAAAUAGUUUAAGCCUUAUGGGCCACAUGCUGUGUCUGUUUCAUAUUCUGCUCCUUUUUUAUUUUUAUUUUUUUUAAGAAAAGACACCCUUUAAACAUAUAAAAACCAUUCUGAGCAACAGGCUGGUGCUAAAAACAGGUCAUGGUAACCAUUGGCUCUAGGGUUGUAGUUUACUGUUGACAUAGAUUGUAUGCUGAUAAGCCAAAAUACAAACCUAAUGAAACUGACAUACUUAAGGAACUUUACUCUUUGUUAGCAAUCAUUGUUAAUAUUUAUUGAAUGGUUACUACGUGGGAAAUGCUGUUCCAAGUGUGAUAGAUAUAUUAACUUACUUAAUCCUCACACCCACUCUAAUUUCAUAAGUACUAUUGUCAGACUCAUUUUACAGACAGGAAAAGCAAGGCAUAGAGAAGGUAAGUAACUUUUCCAAGGUCACAUGGCUAUUAAGUAGCAGAGCUGUGAUUCAAAUAUAAGCAGUUUGGCACCAGACCCUGUGCACUUAACCGCUUGCAUCUCGGUUGGGAGCACUGACUGGUUCAGCUAUUGGGAGGGAAGAAAGGGGAUGGGGAAGCCACAUAACCCCUAGGAGAUUCUGUAAUAAAUAUGCUUCAGAGCCAUUCACCUUGAAGCUGAGGAGGCAUGGAAGCAGGCCACCUGUGUUCUGUACAGCAUCACCAGGCUGGAAAUCUGCCAUGGCUUUCCUUCACGCCAUUACAACAGAGGAUACAGAUGAGGCUGCAGAGGCAUCUUGAUUUGAGAAAAGCAUUUGACUGGAUCUCAUUAAAUUUUAAUCAUAAACUGAAUUCAAAAUAAAUUGAAAACUGGUUGACAGAGCACCAACAAAGGGUGAUGAUAAAUGGUGAUGCAUCUAGAGGGGAGCUAUCUUCCAGGGGACAACUCUAAGGCAAGGACGGAUGGGAUUUAAUGAAGGUGUUAUGUCCCCAGAAGAAGACAAAUAGCACAGCAAGGAACAGAGGAAGGACAGGAGUGAGCAGCCUGAGUAAUUAAUAAACCAUAUUAACAGCUCCUCCAUAAUCAGGCCUUGGUGAUCACAACUGCUUGGAUUUUUUCUUAAGCUUUCUUUGAGUCAGGAAUAGGUUUGAAGCAUCCUAGAGACACACAGCAUGAAUAUUUCAGGUGGACAUUAAAAAGAAAUCUAUAAAUUUACAGCUGGGAGGAUCCUGAGAUCUACUUCGGAUCAGAAACUUUCAAUUACAAGAUUCCCAAGGCCUUACUUCAUUCCCCAGAGAGUAAUCUUUUUAGUAAAUGUCCAAAAGUCAUGGAUUUAAAAAAAAAAUCUUUAAACUCAUUAAUGUCCUUUGUUUCCUGCCCAAAUGCAUGCAAACUUUCAUAACACUGGUUUGCUGAGUGGAAGGUUGGUUUUGAGUGAACUGUUUGGCUCAGAUUCAAACUCCAAUGAACAAAUACUUCCAAGUUUACUUGCUGAAUUUCCCAUACAGAGAAGUUCUUCCACUGGGCUUGCCAGAGGAUUUGAAACAGUGGUGAGCCCUGGAAGGAAGGGAAUAUUUACUGGCCCUUGGACAUAAACCCAGCACAGUAAGACUCACAUCAGGCUGAAGGCAGUGCAGUAUGAACCGACCUGAUUUGAGGAAGUUUGCUCCGGGACUCCUCUGAGCUACUAAAUGAGGAGGAGAAGGACUAAUGGGAACACACUGACUCCAUCACAUUAGAAGUUAUAAUAAACAUUUAGAGAACA
rnacentral:lncRNA from 1 species